UGCUGACAGGUUUGUCUUCCUCUCCUCAUCGUAGUCAUCCUGGGAGUUUCGGACAAGAUCUCGGUACACGGCCAGGCACUCAUCGUAGCGUUCCAGGCGGUACAGCUGGAGGCCAAAGCAAGGGGUCAGAGGACUACUGACAAAACUACUGGCAUUCUGAAACAAAUAUUAAAGAAGCAAUCAUGGAAGAGCUCAAUACAAGGACAAUGCAAACACUCAAAUGGGCCACAUCUUGAGACUGAGGCAUAGCAGAAGCCCUGGGUUCUAUGCCCAGCACCCUACAACUGGAUAUGAUGGUACAUGUCUGUUAUCACAGCCUUGGGAAGUACAGGUAAAGAUCAGAAAGGUAGGCUCUUACUCAGCUACCGAGGAGCUUGAGGUUGGUUGGGAGACAUGCGACACUGUCUCCAAAGAAGAAAGUUUCUUAAAUCUCCUAACAAAAUAUACAAUACUGGUUAACUUGUUCAUGAAGCAAAUGGUUAAGAAAAAAAAAUUAGAUAUAAAAUAUGGUAACUGGAGAAGAUUCAACCAAGCAAGCAGUUAUUUAAAUCUCCAGAUUUAAAAUUCAUGUACAUUAAUGUAAUAUUUAAAAUUCAUUUUGAAGUUUUGACCAUAACCCCCGCCCCCAGAAAAAACUCAUCAAAGCAAAUGUAAAAAAGUAACAAUUCAGGAAGUUUGUGUUCUGUGAAAUAUAAAUGAGAUUAAAAAAAAAAAAAAAGGCAUCAAUAAUUGAAAACAAACAGCUCAAAGGUCUUGGCCUGAAUAAUUAAUGGUCCAAGGGCCAGAGGUCAGGCUAAGUUCACCUUACAGACGUCUAUGCUGCAGAUGUUCAUGUGCGGUAAGCGUACACAUGUCUGGUUGAUAGGUACAUCCUUGUUUUCUCCCUAGAUCCUUGUUCCAAGAACCAUCCAGCUCCACCAGGCCCACCUUUGGAAAUGGUCUCAGUCCAUAGCCCAAGACGGCUUCAAACUAGAGAUUCUGCCUCAGUCUCCUCAUGCUGGAUCACAAGCAUAACUUGUAUAUGUGACUCACAUUUAUGUUCUGCAUUCUUUUAUGGUUUACCCCCUUCUGAGCAGUUCAAAAGAAAGACAGCUCUGGAAAUUGUGGCACAUCCCAUCAUUCAGGAGGCUGAAGUAGGACUGUACGUUUAAAACCAGCUUGGACUGCACAGUGAGUUCCAGGCCAGCAAGAUUAGAUCCGGGACAAACAAAUAUGCAAAUACGAAACAAUAAAAACCCAGGAAAGCAGAAAACAAGCAAAGAGGCAAAAAAACACAAACAAAAAAAAUUCUGAAAUUCUAACAGUCCAGCAGAGAGGAACCAAGAUCACUACUUUGUCUUCUAACUUCAGAAAGACCAAUGACAGAAAAAAGGAAAGCAGGUCAAAAGGGAAGAGCUGGAGGAAGCAGUGGGUGAGGUGAUAGCUCUAAUAACCACUAACAGAAUCACUUACUUGGCUAACACUUUGGUGUGAGUAUUGAUGACAUUCAAGGCUUCUUUGAAACUUCCAUUCUGGAUAAGGCAAACAACUUUACAGUGCAAGGCCGUGACAUCAUCCUUGUUGAUCUGCAAUACUAGAGAACGUUUUUUAGGAAAGCCAUUUUUAAAUCCGUCCCUCAGCUCGUUUUUAACUAAAUAAAAACGGGAAUACAGAUUGCCUAACAUAUGGGAGGCCCUAAGUCUAAUUUUCGCCACUGCAAAACAAACAAAAACUACAACAUAGGCAUGAUUCAUCUUUGGAAUGUUCCAAAGAAAUAUCCAAAAUUCCCCUUUCCCAAAAAGAGAUUGAAGAGAAAUAAAAUAAUAAUUUAUUAUAUAAUAUAAUAAUAUUAAUAAAAUAGUAAUUCGGGCAGCCAAGGUUCGAUGCUAACAGCAUGCCGGUGUCAAAAGGACUAGGAUCACGGUUCCCCUUGCUCCUAGUCUACCGCAGGAAUCCAAUUCUCAGUUUACAAGUCGGUAAAGGAAUUUCUAGAAAUUAAUGGGUAGGGCUGAAGUGACAGUCUUGGCUGAUUAAAGAAUUGCUACACUGUUAUACUGAUACAAAUAUGGGUUGUAGCCCAGCAAAAGGCUAAUGUUAAUGCAAGUAAGUUUGUCCAUACUCAAUUCUAAUUAGUAGCUAUUUUCCUUAAUGCGUGGCCACCAUGACUACUUUUAUAGUAAUCAGGGACCUGAAGGUGCAAAGCGUGUGUUACUGCGAUAUUCUUUACAUAACUAGUGCCUGGUACCGCUGAAUGAUUUGGUAGUUACAUUACCAAACCUAACAUACACAGGUCUAUCUACUGUACAGAAUAUAGCAUGGCCAUAUUACAGGCAUAUAGUGAAGAAUAACAAAUUAUGGAAUCUCAUAUUGAAGACAACUAAAAUUAGAAAUUAUAAUUCAUGGGGCUAAAAACGCAGGUCAAAGUCUCCUUAGGUUAUUUUAAAGGUUGGGGCUUAUUCACUGGCUAAUUAAGACCGGCAAGCUUUUGUACGUGCAAAUGAAUAAAGACCUGACAUUCACACCUCUUCCCUUUAGAAUCUGCAAUGCUUCCACUUUGUCUGCAACAGCAUGGAUGCUACGUGUCAAGGCAGGUUCCUUCCCCUGCCCCAGCCCCAGUCCAUAAGUUUCCUUCAUGACACUAUCUUGAUCACUUCGCUCAAGAUAAUGAAGAAAAGUCAAAUCUGACAUCUUCGCAAAAUCCGGCAGCGGAGAAGAUAUCAAGAACAAUUUGGAAGCGGUUCCGGACGCCAUGGUCUCUUUAAGUCCCCCCUCCCCCUCGCGUCGGGUCUCGCCGGGACUGAGGGAAGUAAGUACACGUGGCCCUAAGCGACCGAGCUCCGGCCGCCGGUGGCCGUGGGACAGCGACCCGCCCCCGGUUUGGGGGCCGAGCCGAACGAAGGACGCAGCGAUCCCCUCCGGGCUGUGCCGAGGAGGCGCGCGCUGGACACAGGCGGCUUCCUCCUGACAGUCCGGCUGUCCCGACACUUACUUUUGUUGACGGUCUUGAGGGCACGCGUGAAGUCGCUGUUCUGCCCAUAACGGUUCACCUCACUCCACAGCGCAGGGACUGACACCCCACCGCUGCCGCCGCUCGCCAUCUUGGAGAAGGUGGAGGUGGGGGAGGAGUAGGGCGACCUCUGCCCCGGAAGAGGAUCUCGGAGUUGGCCGGGCGAAGGAGGAAGUUGGUGGUUGCUAGGCGGCAGGGAGUUGCGAGCGCGUAGGUUCCAGAGCUGGGGUCAGAAAUCGGUUUUCUUUCAAGACUUACGCCCCAACUCCUACUCAAAAGGCGACUGGAGAUAGGAGGAGUCAGAUUCAGAAAAGGUGCUCACCGAAACUGUCAGCCCAAAGCCGCCGGCAUUCUGGUGAGACCACUGUGGUCCGACUGGCCGGGAGACACUCUUUGGAAGAGAAAAACUCCCGGUUCCUCAGGUGGUAUUAGGUGGUAAUUAAUUUAAGGAACCGUAGAGUCGCUUGAAGGAGGCAGGUACAGGCACAGCUUCUCAUGGGUGCUUCAGAAUUGCCGUUUCAGGACAUGAACAGGAUUAGAACCUGGGAAUGAAUCUGGGGGAAGUGAAGAUCGCUGUUGAUGAAAAUACAGUGAAAGGAACUGUUUAACCUCCCAUUGAGAUCUAGCUCAGGAGCAGUGUGGGCUGGAAGCCCGAUGAGAUGAGAAUAUCCAGGUUCUGAACUGAUUGUACGACUUGUGUAGAUGUCAUACAAUAAACUACGUCUUGGAGGUUUUCCUUAAUGUACUUUAAAAAAAAAAGUUUCAUGUAUGUGGGUACACUGUCGCUGUCUUCAGACACACCAGAAGAGGGCAUCAGAUCUCAUUACAGAUGGUUGUGAGCCAUCAUGUGGUUGCUGGGAAUUGAACUCAGGACCUCUGGAAGAGCAGUCAGUGCUCUUAACCACUGAGCCAUCUCUCCAGCCCCUUAUUGUACUUCUUUAAGGAAACUUGGUCACGCAGCCUAGUCAGUAUACAUUCUGGUUUCAAGGCUCAACUUCCUUGUGGAGAAGAUGCAUGCAUGCUAAGCAAGUGGGCUCAGCAUUCAGCUACACCCUCUACAAGGCUCUAUUCCUGAGUGCUGAUUCUUUAAGUCCCUCUAACAACCUAUAGUCGUAAGGCCAUAGGCCUUAUUUACUUUACUUACUACCUGGGAGACCUGAACCAAACCUUCCUUCACCUCCCGUAGACUGAACCUCAAGUUCUCUUAAUGUUGUUACUCAGCUUUUAAACCACGCGUCUACUUCAUAUUUCUUGUCUGGGUCAAGGGCUGAAACUCUAGCUGAUUGUCAUAUGGUUCUGGACAACUUUGUGUAGUCAGUAUAAUAAUACAUGAUACUGAAUUUAUGAGGAUGAGUUUAUUUUGGAUCAUAAUUUCAGCUAUAGUAGGUUGGCUUUGUUGCUUUGGAACCUCAGUGAGGAACAUCAUGAUAGAAAUCAGGUAGUAGUUACCCAAAGCUGCACACUUAAUGAUUACUGGGCAGGAAAAAGCUGAAGCCCCAGACAAAAUGUCAAUUUCAAAAGCACACUUACACUAGGCACUAUCUCCUACAGCAGUGGUUCUCAACCUGCGAAUCAUGACCCCUGGAGGGGGGGGUCACAUAUUAGAUAUUUACACUACUAUUCAUAGCAAUUGCAAAAAAAAAAAAAAAAAAAAAAAAAAGCAGGAACAAAAUAAUUUUAUGGUGGGGGGUGCCACCACAACAUGAAGAACUGUGUUAAAGGGUCAUGGCAUUAGGAAGGUUGAAAAUCACUGGCCUAGACGUUCCACCACCUUUAAACAGUGUCAAAGGAGCCUCUACAGAACACUCAAGACCAACUACAGCAGAUUCCCCAGCUGCUGUACAUGCAUCAGUCCAGUAAGUUACACGGAGUUGUGUCCCCUUUUGGGAACUUGCACGUUCAUUCACAGAGUACUUCAGUACUAUGUAUCUGCCUGCCUGUAUAUAGGAAUUUACAUUGCUGAGAUACGAUAUCCAGUGUACUUGGACUAUGCAUUUCCUACAUGAGAUAGGCAAUAAAAAUAUAUACUGAGUGGUGAUAAGUUCUGUGAGAAUCUGAGGAUUACAAUUAAGAAUAGAGACCUAGAUUUUUUCCCUUUAAAGAUCAGAAAAGUCUGUGAGUAUCUGCAUCUGUCUUAAGUCAGGAGCUGGCAGAGUCUCUGAAGAUAGCCAUACCAGGCCACUGUCUGUAAGCACAUCUUGUCCUCCGAAAUAGUGUUGGGGUUUGGUGUCUGUGGAUGGAAUGGAUCCCAAAGUGGAGCGGUCUCUGGAUGGCCUUUCCUUCAAUUUUUCUCUUGGGUGAGUGGCCCCAUACCUCAACUGGAGGCCAUACCUAUCUACUGGAGGUGACCUCUUCAGGUUCUGUCUCCCCACUGUUGGGCAUUUCAGCUGUCAUCCCCAUUGGGUCCUGGGAGCCUCUCCCAUCCCCAGCAUCUGGGACUUCCCCCAGUGCUACAUACUACUAUUCAUUCGCCUGGCCCACUGGACUCCCCCUCCCACUCAGGUACCUACCAGCCUCUGCCUCCCAUGAUUAUUUUGUUCCCCCUUCUAAGUUGCAUUGAAGCAUCCACUUUAACCUUCCUUUUUGUUAAGCUUCAUAUGGUCUGUGAGUUGUAUUGUGGGUAUUCCCAGCUAUUGGGCUAAUAUCCACUCAUCAGUGAGUUCAUACCACAUUGUCCUUUUGGGUCUCCUUACCUCAGUCAGACGACUUUCUAAUUCUAUUUACCUGCAAAAUUCAUAUAGUACUCAUUUUUAAUAGCGAGUAGUAUUCCAUUGUGUAAAUGUACAUUUUCUGUAUGCAUUCUUCACUUGACAACUGGGUUGUUUCCAGCUUCUGGCUAUUAUAAAUAAGGCUGCUAUGAACAUAGUAGAGCACGUGUCCUAUUAUUAUGGUGGAACCCUUUCCCCUUCCUGAAACAGGGUCUCACAUGGCCCAGACUAGCCUUGACUUUGCUCACAUGACUUUUAAUAGGCCUUCAAAGUACUUAAAGAACCUGUAAAAUCAAGUGGUAAAUUUUGUUUAUGGAUUUUUUUUUUUAAAGACAGGGUGAACGGGAAUCUAAAGGUUCUUUGGAUUUAGUUGUAUUGUUUUGCUGGGGCAAACAUGCGAUUGCAGGUGUGGCAAACGUUUUACCAGAAAAUAAAAGUUUACAACCCAGAGAGCACCUCCCAACAGCUAAGCAGUAUUUUAGUCCAUCUUUCCCUGGAAUAGCUUUAUUCCAUAUAGAACUGUCUUAUUGCCCAAAACUCGCAGGAAAGGCCCUUUUAGCACCUCUUCCAUUUUAUGAGCUGCUUCUACCUCUAUUCUCAACUUCUUUAGAAGCACAGCAAGCAAAUACCCCCAAACAAACCAGGGUUAAAGCAUGGCAAGGACCUAGGGUUUCCUCACCAUUGUAAAAACCAACACAACAAAGUUCAAACACAUUCCUUAGCUGGAGACUCAUGUAGCAAUGUACUUACUGAGAAGGUCCAGAGCACGCAGCGAGAACACGUUAUUAACACGCACAAUAUUUUAAUUUUUAAAGUGUCAACUCCAAAUGUCAAGCAAUACUAUUGAUUUAUAAAUGUUAUUACCACUUAGAAAUAAUACUCUUUGAAAACGUUUAUUUUUUAAAAUUGUGUGUGUUGGGUGGAGGAAUGUAACAGAAUCUGAGAGCAGGUGCAUAAGGAAGCCACGGGGUCAGAUCCCGGGUUAAAGGUUAUUUAUUGUGAGGCAGUCUACAUGGAUGCUGGGAGCCAAACUCAGGGCAUCUGCAGGAGAGCCAUACUGGUUCUUGAACCACAGACACAUUGCUCCAGUUCCAUAAUUACAUAUUUACCCAACAAUGACUAUAUAGAAAGCGAGAUGUAAUUUAGCAGCGUUGUGCCAAGAUCCCCUCCCCAGCAA